GGGCUGUUAGCUCAGUUGGCUAGAGCAUCGCCUUGACAGGGCGGGGGUCACUGGUUCGAAUCCAGUACAGCCCACUA
rnacentral:tRNA from 1 species